rnacentral:misc_RNA from 1 species
GAUGAAGAACGUAGCGAAAUGCGAUAAGUAAUGUGAAUUGCAGAAUUCAGUGAAUCAUCGAAUCUUUGAACGCACAUUGCGCCCCUUGGUAUUCCGAGGGGCAUGCCUAUUCGAGCGUCAUUAUCACCCCUCAAGCCUAGCUUGGUGUUGAGGCCUGCUGUCAAGGCAGCCUCUAAAAUCAGUGGCAGUGCUGUCAGGCUCUAAGCGUAGUAAAUCUAAUCGCUAUAGACACCUGGUGGACACUCGCCAGAACCCCCCCAUUUUUUAAUGAUUGACCUCGGAUGAGGUAGGGAUACCCGCUGAACUUAAGCAUAUCAAUAAGCGGAGGA